AUGAAGGUGAUUGCGUGGAACUGCCGGGGAUUGGGGAAUGGGCUGGCAGUUCGUGGUCUUCUGGAGCUCCAGAAGAAGGAGGACCCCGACAUCCUAUUCUUGUCUGAGACUAGGCUCGAUGAGUGGAGCAUGGGUAAAUUUCAUGAUAUGUUAGGGCUUUAUCAUAUGAAGGUGCAGAAUAAUAAAGGCAAGAGUGGAGGUUUAGCUUUGUUUUGGAGGCGUGGAAUAAAUGUGUCUGUUAGAUGGUCUGGACGUAUGCAUAUUGAUGCGAUUGUGGAGGAGAAAGAUGGCUUUAAAUGGCGUUUGACGGGUAUCUACGGUGAAUCUCAUGCGGACAGGAAGGUGGAGACGUGGCGCCUUCUCCGUACUCUUCAUCAUCAGAUUCAGCUCCCUUGGGUAUGCCUGGGCGAUUUUAAUGAGAUUUUGUUUAGUCAUGAGAACAAGGUGGUGUUCCCAGAUCUCAUAGGUGUAUGCAAAAUUUUCGUGAUGCUCUUGAUUAUUGUAAUUUGCAUGACCUUGGUUUUGAGGGUGACGUUUUUACUUGGAGAAAUAAAAAUUAUAGAGUUGAUGGUUAUAUCCAUGAGAGGUUGGACCGUGUGGUGGCUACGCCCGAUUGGUGUACCCGUUUUCUGGCAUAUAAAAUUGUGA
rnacentral:rRNA from 1 species